rnacentral:rRNA from 1 species
GUGGGGAAUCUUAGACAAUGGGGGAAACCCUGAUCUAGCCAUGCCGCGUGAGCGAUGAAGGCCUUAGGGUUGUAAAGCUCUUUCAGAGGGGAAGAUAAUGACGGUACCCUCAGAAGAAGCCCCGGCUAACUCCGUGCCAGCAGCCGCGGUAAUACGGAGGGGGCUAGCGUUGUUCGGAAUUACUGGGCGUAAAGCGCACGUAGGCGGACCAGAAAGUCAGGGGUGAAAUCCCGGGGCUCAACCCCGGAACUGCCUUUGAAACUCCUGGUCUUGAGGUCGAGAGAGGUGAGUGGAAAUCCGAGUGUAGAGGUGAAAUUCGUAGAUAUUCGGAGGAACACCAGUGGCGAAGGCGGCUCACUGGCUCGAUACUGACGCUGAGGUGCGAAAGCGUGGGGAGCAAACAGGAUUAGAAACCCUGGUAGUCC